GACGAACCGUCCUAACGUUGUUCGGAAUCACUGGGCUUAAAGGGCGCGUAGGCGGGUCUCCAAGUCGGUGGUGAAAUCUUUCAGCUCAACUGGAAAAGUGCCGCCGAUACUGGGGAUCUCGAGGGAGGUAGGGGUCGAUGGAACUAAUGGUGGAGCGGUGAAAUGCGUAGAUAUCAUUAGGAACGCCGGUGGCGAAAGCGAUCGACUGGACCUCUUCUGACGCUGAGGCACGAAAGCCAGGGGAGCGAACGGG
rnacentral:rRNA from 1 species